UUCCAUGGCUUCACGUCUGGACUAGUGGCUUGGGUGGGCUGGAGGGUAAUUCCGUCUGGGUCACAAAAAGCUCCUGGCUUCCCAUAAAGUGUGCCA